UACAACAUAACAUUAAUGCACCAGAUCUCAUUAGAAAUUCACAGUUAACCGCACUUAAGAUAGAUUAGUAUUGGGAUGGCUGACCACCUGGGAAGUCCUAGCGUUUUAC
rnacentral:rRNA from 1 species